AACGAACGCUGGCGGCAUGCCUAACACAUGCAAGUCGAACGAUGCUUUCGGGCAUAGUGGCGCACGGGUGCGUAACGCGUGGGAAUCUGCCCUUGGGUUCGGAAUAACAGUGAGAAAUUGCUGCUAAUACCGGAUGAUGUCUUCGGACCAAAGAUUUAUCGCCCAGGGAUGAGCCCGCGUAGGAUUAGCUAGUUGGUGGGGUAAUGGCCUACCGAGGCGACGAUCCUUAGCUGGUCUGAGAGGAUGAUCAGCCACACUGGGACUGAGACACGGCCCAGACUCCUGCGGGAGGCAGCAGUGGGGAAUAUUGGACAAUGGGCGCGAGCCUGAUCCAGCAAUGCCGCGUGGGUGAUGAAGGCCUUAGGGUUGUAAAGCUCUUUUACCCGAGAUGAUAAUGACAGUACCGGGAGAAUAAGCUCCGGCUAACUCCGUG
rnacentral:rRNA from 1 species